rnacentral:rRNA from 1 species
AUUGAACGCUGGCGGCAUGCCUUACACAUGCAAGUCGAACGGCAGCACGGGUGCUUGCACCUGGUGGCGAGUGGCGAACGGGCGAGUAAUACAUCGGAACGUACCUUAUCGUGGGGGAUAACGCAGCGAACGCUGUGCUAAUACCGCAUACGACCUGAGGGGGAAAGCGGGGGAUCGCAAGACCUCGCGCGAUUAGAGCGGCCGAUGCCUGAUUAGCUAGUUGGUGGGGUAAAAGCCCACCAAGGCGACGAUCAGUAGCUGGUCUGAGAGGACGAUCAGCCACACUGGGACUGAGACACGGCCCAGACUCCUACGGGAGGCAGCAGUGGGGAAUGUUGGACAAUGGGGGCAACCCUGAUCCAGCAAUGCCGCGUGAGUGAAGAAGGCCUUCGGGUUGUAAAGCUCUUUUGUCAGGGAAGAAACACCGGCUCUAACACAGUCCGGGAAUGACGGUACCUGAAGAAUAAGCACCGGCUAAAUACGUGCCAGCCGCCGCAGUAA